GAAAGAGAAAGAGAGUGGGUGCGGAUAAGAGAAGUACAAUCAACUCAAGAUUGGAGCAAGUCGUAUCUUCUGAGGAGCCGAUUUCUGUUCUCGCUCCGAUUAUGAUCUUUAUCACCGGAUAGAGGAUUCUGAGAGAGAGGAGAAGAGAGAAUAUUGUUGGAAAUCUAACCUCUGGCUGCAAUAGAUGGUGAACGGACCACAGUUUCUGCCACGACAAAGUCAGAGUCACCGCCUUUAAUUCGUUGGCUUCUUCAUCAUCUCGCGUUUGACGUCAAAGUGUUCUUCGUGACGGAAUCCAGGUUUUUUUUAUGUUUUAUUGUACUGAAACUUUUGUUUAGAAAGAGUUUUUGCGUCUGAAAAUGAUGAU
rnacentral:lncRNA from 1 species